rnacentral:rRNA from 1 species
UACGUAGGUGGCAAGCGUUGUCCGGAUUUAUUGGGCGUAAAGGGCGCGCAGGCGGUUCGUCAAGUCCGAUGUGAAAUCUCCCGGCCUAACUGGGAGGGGUCUUCGGAUACUGGCGGACUUGAGGAGAGCAGAGGUGAGCGGAAUUCUCGGUGUAGUGGUGAAAUGCGUAGAUAUCGAGAGGAACACCAGCGGCGAAGGCGGCUCACUGGGCUCCACCUGACGCUGAGGCGCGAAAGCGUGGGGAGCAAACCGG